UUAAGCCUUAACUAUGAAGUUAAAAAUCCACAUUUUGUCGAUAAAAGAAAUGAAUAUUGCAAUAAUGGUACUGAAGUCCACUUCGUGAGAGCGGUUUAUAAUAGAAACAAUUAUAAUGAAUCUUAUUGUGAUUUUGCGGUGACAGAAACGACCACACCAAUGACAUCACCUAAUAUUUCAUCAAAAUCAAUUGAAAUAUACAUUGCUACUGCUGGUGGUGGAUUUUUUCUAAUUACUAUUAUCAUCAUCUUUGCUGUCUGCAGAGAAAAACGAUAUAAAUCCUCAUCAAAAACGAGAGAGAUAACAGAUAUGGCUUACUCUGUGAAAAACGAAGGAUUAAUUAAUCCAUUUAAAGGUGAACUAAUAGAAAACGAGCUUUAUCAAAGCGCAGAUAAUAUGGUAGACAGGAACAAUAUUUACAGUCAUCCAAUUAAGCAUGGAUCAUUGUGAAAACAAAAACAAAACUUGAACAGGAGAAAGAGCAAUACCCUUGUCCUUCAAAUUUACAAAAACAAUUGGAAAGCAAGUAAACAAGUGGGAAGACAAUUCUAACAGCAAGAGUAAAGGAGUUCUCGAAUACGUACUUUGCAAUUAUACUUGCCAUAUUAUCUAUAUGAUUAAUUUAAAAUCAAUUUUAAAAACUUACAACAAACAAUAAAUAAUAUCACCGCGAAAUUAAUCUGCUAUUAUUAAAUGAUUUAAGACAAAUACAAACUUUUUUUUUCAUAUUGUGAUUUAAAUUGUUUGAAUUCUUCUCAAAUUUAGCAAAGUAUCUAGUUCAUGCUCUAUAUUUGUUCACACAUGAUUAAGGACUUUUAUCUUAAUUCAUAGGCAUUCACCCUGUUACAUAUCUUGUUAUAAAACAGCUAAGAUCCACGGUAUAAUCUAUGGGGCUUGAUCGAAAGUUUAACAAAGAGCAUUGUUUCUGUAUUGGUGCAGCGAAACUGGGGUACACUGACAAUUCAAUUUAAAGACGGGGAAAUGAAAUUCAAGCGCUUUUAAAACGUACAUCAGACUAAAUGAUUAAAUUUGCAAGUGUUUUGUGUCAAAGUGUUAUGAGGAAUAAUGUGUGAAGUGUUGGAUGUAUCUUACAACAUGUUUAGGUCUGAAGUUAUCUGCUGUAAUCUUAAGGUUCAACCUAAGUUGAAUAGAUCAUAUUCAUGUUUAGAUAUUACGUUUAUACGUACUAGAUAUUCUUACCAAUUUUUUGGAUUGUUGCUUUUAUUUCUAUGUGUGAGUGGGGUGGGGUUUUUUUUAGUCAAAAUGUAUAUGAAAUCCAAUCGUAGAGAAUUGCUAGUUUUGAACGACAGAUAUAAUGUACUGUAACAACAAUGUAAAUUAAUAGUAAUAUUAUCGUAUACUGUUUUUAGUCUUGAAUAUUUGUUUUUAUUUUUUUUUUCGUUAUGGUUAAGACAUUGGUCGACUUCCAUUGUCAUAUGUGUCAUUAAAACAUUAUAUGUGACCGUUUUAAUCAACAUUAGAUGAUAUCCCGCCCACGCGCGGGGUAUUAAUACUUUACACAUUUAUGGGCUUUGUAUAUAUUGUGCAUACUUAUUUGUAUAUAUUAUGUCCAAUAUUUUUUCUCAGUUGUUUUUCCCAACUUUCUAUGUGAUAAAGUAGCUGACUGGAUAUUUAGAUGAGCGUGUAGGGAUGAAAUUUUAAACUAAAAUUGAUUAAAUGUGUCCUAAAUUCUUUUUGUUGCCGCUGACUUACAAAAUUACAAACUGUUUCAGUUUUUUCUUUGUUCUAUAUUUAGUUUUAAAAUUGUGCAUUAAAGAAACAAAUUGAUUUUAUUUUAUUUUCAAAUUUUGUCAUCUCUUAUGUCAAUAAUCAUUAUAACUGAAUUCACGUUAAAUGUAUAAACUCCUCACGCAAUUAUUCAAAAUUAUUUCGUUG